rnacentral:rRNA from 1 species
UACGUAGGGUGCGAGCGUUGUCCGGAAUUAUUGGGCGUAAAGAGCUCGUAGGCGGUGUGUCACGUCGUUCGUGAAAACCUGCAGCUUAACUGUGGGCGUGCGGUCGAUACGGGCAUCACUGGAGUUCGGCAGGGGAGACUGGAAUUCCUGGUGUAGCGGUGAAAUGCGCAGAUAUCAGGAGGAACACCGGUGGCGAAGGCGGGUCUCUGGGCCACUACUGACGCUGAGAAGCGAAAGCAUGGGGAGCGAACGGG